rnacentral:rRNA from 1 species
GCCAGGGGGGGCGGGCCUAAACAUGCAAGUCGAACGCUUCUUUCCUCCCGAGUGCUUGCACUCAAUUGGAAAGAGGAGUGGCGGACGGGUGAGUAACACGUGGGUAACCUACCCAUCAGAGGGGGAUAACACUUGGAAACAGGUGCUAAUACCGCAUAACAGUUUAUGCCGCAUGGCAUAAGAGUGAAAGGCGCUUUCGGGUGUCGCUGAUGGAUGGACCCGCGGUGCAUUAGCUAGUUGGUGAGGUAACGGCUCACCAAGGCCACGAUGCAUAGCCGACCUGAGAGGGUGAUCGGCCACACUGGGACUGAGACACGGCCCAGACUCCUACGGGAGGCAGCAGUAGGGAAUCUUCGGCAAUGGACGAAAGUCUGACCGAGCAACGCCGCGUGAGUGAAGAAGGUUUUCGGAUCGUAAAACUCUGUUGUUAGAGAAGAACAAGGACGUUAGUAACUGAACGUCCCCUGACGGUAUCUAACCAGAAAGCCACGGCUAACUACGUGCCAGCAGCCGCGGUAAUACGUAGGUGGCAAGCGUUGUCCGGAUUUAUUGGGCGUAAAGCGAGCGCAGGCGGUUUCUUAAGUCUGAUGUGAAAGCCCCCGGCUCAACCGGGGAGGGUCAUUGGAAACUGGGAGACUUGAGUGCAGAAGAGGAGAGUGGAAUUCCAUGUGUAGCGGUGAAAUGCGUAGAUAUAUGGAGGAACACCAGUGGCGAAAGGCGGCUCUCUGGUCUGUAACUGACGCUGAGGCUCGAAAAGCGUGGGGAGCAAACAGGAUUAGAUACCCCUGGUUAGUCCACGCCGUAAACGAUGAGUGCUAGUUGUUGGAGGGUUUUCGCCCUUUCAGUGCUUGCAUAAAAAGCAUUAAGCCAUCCG